UUGUCCGGAAUUAUUGGGCGUAAAGGGCUCGUAGGCGGUUUGUCGCGUCGGGAGUGAAAACCUUGGGCUUAACUCUGAGCUUGCGGUCGAUACGGGCAUGACUGGAGUUCGGCAGGGGAGACUGGAAUUCCUGGUGUAGCGGUGAAAUGCGCAGAUAUCAGGAGGAACACCGGUGGCGAAGGCGGGUCUCUGGGCAGUAACUGACGCUGAGGAGCGAAAGCGUGGGGAGCGAACAGG
rnacentral:rRNA from 1 species